UACGUAGGGGGCUAGCGUUGUCCGGAAUCAUUGGGCGUAAAGAGCGUGUAGGCUGCUCGGUAAGUCCGCUGUAAAAGUCAAAGGCUCAACCUUUGAAUGUCAGUGGAUACUGCCGGGCUAGAGUCCGGAAGAGGCGAGUGGAACUGCGAGUGUAGAGGUGAAAUUCGUAGAUAUUCGCAAGAACACCAGUGGCGAAGGCGGCUCACUGGUCCGGUACUGACGCUGAGGUGCGAAAGCGUGGGGAGCAAACAGGG
rnacentral:rRNA from 1 species